AAAAGAGAAGAGUCUGACCUGUGAGGUUUGCAAAGAGUACAACAGAACACACACCACGGGAGCAGAAAGGAAAGUAGACAGCAGUGUACAUUACACUACGUGUGAAAUAGGGAAGGUGGAGAUAGUUUAUGAUGGAGAAACGCAAACACUUUUUCACCCAGACUGUCAAGGUUAAGAAAACUGGCCUUCAAGUCCAACCACCCUGACGUUGCAUCCUGGCUACGCCUAUGUAACAAACCCAUGUGAUGAAAACAGCACAAGAUAUUUCCUGUAAGGAGCUUAUGAUAACGUCUGACGUCUGGUUUCACACAGCAUGUAAAUAAUGCACGGGGCUGUCCGCGUCCAUCAGACCUUAAGUCCUUUUCUCUUCGAGAGUCUCCCGUGAGUCAUUUGAAAUCCGCUCUGCAAACACCAUCUCAAAUCACCUAACGGCGUUUCUGUGGUCGUUGAGAUAAGCAGAAAGAAACCACGGUCAACAGGCCCACCCACAAACAGGGCAGAACAUGAACAUGUUGA